UACGGAGGGGGCUAGCGUUGUUCGGAAUUACUGGGCGUAAAGCGCACGUAGGCGGCUUUGUAAGUUAGAGGUGAAAGCCCGGGGCUCAACUCCGGAAUUGCCUUUAAGACUGCAUCGCUAGAAUUGUGGAGAGGUAAGUGGAAUUCCGAGUGUAGAGGUGAAAUUCGUAGAUAUUCGGAAGAACACCAGUGGCGAAGGCGACUUACUGGACACAUAUUGACGCUGAGGCAUGAAAGCGUGGGGAGCAAACAGG
rnacentral:rRNA from 1 species